ACGGGUGAGUAACACGUGAGUAACCUGCCCUUGACUCUGGGAUAAGCGUUGGAAACGACGUCUAAUACCGGAUACGAACCUCAACCGCAUGGUUAGGGGUUGGAAAGAUUUUUUGGUCAAGGAUGGACUCGCGGCCUAUCAGCUUGUUGGUGAGGUAAUGGCUCACCAAGGCGACGACGGGUAGCCGGCCUGAGAGGGUGACCGGCCACACUGGGACUGAGACACGGCCCAGACUCCUACGGGAGGCAGCAGUGGGGAAUAUUGCACAAUGGGCGCAAGCCUGAUGCAGCAACGCCGCGUGAGGGAUGACGGCCUUCGGGUUGUAAACCUCUUUUAGUAGGGAAGAAGCGAAAGUGACGGUACCUGCAGAAAAAGCACCGGCUAACUACGUGCCAGCAGCCGCGGUAAUACGUAGGGUGCAAGCGUUGUCCGGAAUUAUUGGGCGUAAAGAGCUCGUAGGCGGUUUGUCGCGUCUGCUGUGAAAACUGGAGGCUCAACCUCCAGCCUGCAGUGGGUACGGGCAGACUAGAGUGCGGUAGGGGAGAUUGGAAUUCCUGGUGUAGCGGUGGAAUGCGCAGAUAUCAGGAGGAACACCGAUGGCGAAGGCAGAUCUCUGGGCCGUAACUGACGCUGAGGAGCGAAAGCGUGGGGAGCGAACAGGAUUAGAUACCCUGGUAGU
rnacentral:rRNA from 1 species